rnacentral:rRNA from 1 species
CGAACGUAUGCAAUCUACCUUAUACAGGGGCAUAACUUCGAGAAAUCGAUGCUAAUUCCCCAUAACACUAUGAAGUGGCAUCAUUUUAUAGUUAAAGCUACGGCGGUAUAAGAUGAGCAUGCGUUCAAUUAGCUAGUUGGAGAGGUAACGGCUCACCAAGGCUACGAUUGAUAGGGGUUCUGAGAGGAUGAUCCCCCACACUGGUACUGAGACACGGACCAG